CCUACGGGAGGCAGCAGUGGGGAAUAUUGGGCAAUGGGCGCAAGCCUGAACCAGCCAAGUAGCGUGAAGGAUGACUGCCCUAUGGGUUGUAAACUUCUUUUAUAUGGGAAUAAAGUGCAGUAUGUAUACUGCUUUGCAUGUACCUUAUGAAUAAGGAUCGGCUAACUCCGUGCCAGCAGCCGCGGUAAUACGGAGGAUCCGAGCGUUAUCCGGAUUUAUUGGGUUUAAAGGGAGCGUAGGCGGGUUGUUAAGUCAGUUGUGAAAGUUUGCGGCUCAACCGUAAAAUUGCAGUUGAUACUGGCAUCCUUGAGUACAGUAGAGGCAGGUGGAAUUCGUGGUGUAGCGGUGAAAUGCUUAGAUAUCACGAAGAACUCCGAUUGCGAAGGCAGCCUGCUGGACUGUAACUGACGCUGAGGCGCGAAAGUGUGGGUAGCAAACAGGAUUAGAUACCCGGGUAGUC
rnacentral:rRNA from 1 species